rnacentral:rRNA from 1 species
UACGGGGGGGGCAAGCGUUGUUCGGAAUUACUGGGCGUAAAGGGUUCGUAGGUGGCUUGCUAAGUCAGACGUGAAAUCCCUCAGCUUAACUGGGGAACUGCGUCUGAGACUGGUGAGCUUGAGUGCAGGAGAGGAACGCGGAAUUCCAGGUGUAGCGGUGAAAUGCGUAGAUAUCUGGAGGAACACCGGUGGCGAAGGCGGCGUUCUGGACUGCUACUGACACUGAGGAGCGAAAGCCAGGGGAGCAAACGGG